rnacentral:misc_RNA from 1 species
AAGUCGUAACAAGGUUUCCGUAGGUGAACCUGCGGAAGGAUCAUUAACACGUAUCCAACGUUGGAUGUCGGAGAACGGACCGAGUGGUAGUUCGAAGAUGACUUCUGUCGCGCGCUGUGAAAAAGAAGACGCUUUACGAAUCACUGACCAACACGGCCAGUGACCGGGUUCCUGGGUCCUAGACCCCCUGAUCACCCCGACAGUCGCAGACGCGGGUAGGGAUACGUCCUUACCAAAAAAUAAAUACUUGAACAACUGUUAACAAUGGAUAUCUUGGUUCUC